UACGGGGGGGGCAAGCGUUGUUCGGAAUUACUGGGCGUAAAGGGCUCGUAGGCGGCCAACUAAGUCAGACGUGAAAUCCCUCGGCUUAACCGGGGAACUGCGUCUGAUACUGGAUGGCUUGAGAUUGGGAGAGGGAUGCGGAAUUCCAGGUGUAGCGGUGAAAUGCGUAGAUAUCGGGAGGAACACCGGUGGCGAAGGCGGUUCUCUGGGCCUUACCUGACGCUGAGGAGCGAAAGCGUGGGGAGCGAACAGG
rnacentral:rRNA from 1 species